GUGCCUCGAGAAGGCCGGUGCUUUUACUUUGAAAAAAUUAGAGUGCUCAACGCAGGCGAGUCGCCUGAAUAAACUUGCAUGGAAUAAUAGAACAAGACCUCGUUUCUGUUCUGUUGGUUUUUGGAAUACGAGGUAAUGAUUAAGAGGGACAGACGGGGGCAUUCGUAUUGCGGCGCUAGAGGUGAAAUUCUUGGACCGUCGCAAGACGAACUACUGCGAAAGCAUUUGCCAAGAAUGUUUUCUUUGAUCAAGAACGAAAGUCAGAGGUUCGAAGGCGAUCAGAUACCGCCCUAGUUCUGACCAUAAACGAUGCCAACCAGCGAUCCGCCUGAGUUACUCAAAUGACUCGGCGGGCAGCUUCCGGGAAACCAAAGU
rnacentral:rRNA from 5 species